UACGUAGGUGGCGAGCGUUGUCCGGAUUUACUGGGCGUAAAGAGCGCGCAGGCGGUCGUUCAAGUCGCGUGUGAAAGCCCCCGGCUCAACUGGGGAGGGUCACGCGAUACUGAUCGACUCGAAGGCAGGAGAGGGUGGUGGAAUUCCCGGUGUAGUGGUGAAAUGCGUAGAUAUCGGGAGGAACACCAGUGGCGAAGGCGACUACCUGGCCUGUUCUUGACGCUGAGGCGCGAAAGCUAGGGGAGCAAACGGG
rnacentral:rRNA from 1 species